UACGUAGGGUGCAAGCGUUGUCCGGAAUUAUUGGGCGUAAAGAGCUCGUAGGCGGUCUGUCGCGUCUGCUGUGAAAACUCAGGGCUUAACCCUGAGCUUGCAGUGGGUACGGGCAGACUAGAGUGCGGUAGGGGAGACUGGAAUUCCUGGUGUAGCGGUGGAAUGCGCAGAUAUCAGGAGGAACACCGGUGGCGAAGGCGGGGUCUCUGGGCCCGAUACUGACGCUGAGGAGCGAAAGCGUGGGGAGCGAACAGG
rnacentral:rRNA from 1 species